rnacentral:misc_RNA from 1 species
AAAGUUGGAUUUCAAAUAAAGGAGGAAUAACAAAAUAUCUCCCAGAUCCAUCUUUGUUCAGAGUCCUCGGAUUCAAAACAACAAAGCCCUGAAAACAUAAGCAUGACAAAACAUACCAAACUAAGAUUAAAUUUCUCAAGAAAUAGGAAUUCAAGAAUUAUUGUUGACUAGAGAAACAAAAAGAAGAAAUGAAAGCCCCCAGUCACUCUUAGCAAAACACUUCAUGAUCAGUCCACCACACUGAUGAAAUCCUGAAAAAUUACAACCAAUUCUCAGAAACUACCACUCUAACAGAUAAACUAUAAAUUAUAGCUUUCAGAUCCAAGAAAACCCCUUCCCCUCAUCUGAGGCAAAACCCUUCCCAUUUAAUCAAUCAUAGCCCUCAUAGUCAACAGAACGCAGAAACCACCUAU